AACUAAACCUGAUGGGAGUGGACAUCUUGAUUUUUCAUCGGGAUAAAGCAUACAGCAGGACAGCAC
rnacentral:sRNA from 1 species